UAAACGACGUGGGGUAACCUGCCUUAUACAGGGGAGUAACAGUCAGAAAUGGCUGCUAAUACCGCAUAAGCGCACAGAGCUGCAUGGCUCAGUGUGAAAAACUCCGGUGGUAUAAGAUGGACCCGCGUUGGAUUAGCUGGUUGGUGGGGUAACGGCCCACCAAGGCGACGAUCCAUAGCCGGCCUGAGAGGGUGAACGGCCACAUUGGGACUGAGACACGGCCCAG
rnacentral:rRNA from 1 species